rnacentral:SRP_RNA from 1 species
UGUCAGGCACUGUGCAAUGUGCCAUUACCCAACCCCGUCAGGCCCGGAAGGGAGCAGCGGUAAGUAACUGGUAUGUGUGCCGCAGUUCGCUUGACUUCU